GUGCUUGCUUUGGUAGCACAUGAACUAAAACUGGAACAAUACAGAGAAUAUUAGUAUGACCCUUGUGUAAGGAUGACAUGAAAAUUCAUGAAGAGUUCCAUAUUUUA